AUCUUUUCAAUUGUGCCCCUCAAAUUGGAGAGCCUUUGGUUAUGCCAUUCGGGGUAGUUUCAUCUUUCCGGUUAUAAUUUAUUGAUAUCGUGCACGCGUUUGGAUCUUUGGUUUCUCUCUUCGUCUCUUAAAGCGUAGAUGGUUCCAGAUGAUCUCAAGAGCUGUUGGGGGUUUCUUGGCAGUCAAAAUUCCGAUCAGAAAUCUUUAAUGCCAAGGAAUUUGUUCGAAAACUAUCUCCGGUUCUUCAUAAUUUAAGCUUGGAUGAGAUUUCAAUCAGAAUGGGCAAAUGAACCUGGACCAUUCAUUAUAAUAAUAUGUCUCUCAACUAUCCUAUCUUUGGUGAGUUUA